rnacentral:rRNA from 1 species
GUGGGGAAUCUUCCGCAAUGGACGAAAGUCUGACGGAGCAACGCCGCGUGAGUGAUGAAGGUCUUCGGAUUGUAAAGCUCUGUUAAUCGGGACGAAAGAGCCUAGUGUGAAUAAUGCUAGGAAGUGACGGUACCGGAAUAGAAAGCCACGGCUAACUACGUGCCAGCAGCCGCGGUAAUACGUAGGUGGCAAGCGUUGUCCGGAAUUAUUGGGCGUAAAGCGCGCGCAGGCGGAUCUGCCAGUCUGUCUUAAAAGUUCGGGGCUUAACCCCGUGAUGGGAUGGAAACUACAGAUCUAGAGUAUCGGAGAGGAAAGUGGAAUUCCUAGUGUAGCGGUGAAAUGCGUAGAGAUUUGGAAGAACACCAGUGGCGAAGGCGACUUUCUGGACGAUGUCUGACGCUGAGGCGCGAAAGCUAGGGGAGCGAACGGGAUUAGAUACCCCGGUAGUCC